rnacentral:lncRNA from 1 species
GCCUGGCAGUGUGAUUGCAGACUUUCAAAUUGCAACCUCAAGCAAAACACUUAAUUUUAGUAAAGCAAACGAAAACCUAGCCUCUACUCUCACUGAUCAAAAGAUAUUAGUGAGUGCUGAUUCCUUUGCUGAGACUGGUAAGUUCACAGUUCAAUUAUUAAAUGUAAACCCAGUACUGAGUUAGAUUUUCCUAUACUGUGGUGUAACAUUUAAAAAAAAAAUAAGAAUAUAAAUAAUAAAUAAUAUAAAUAAUAAUUUACACUGUUGUCUGAAAAGUGCAUUGCAGUUAUAUACACAACACUAUGGUGAUGAUGUGUUCUUUCUUAGUGCAGAGUUUAAUAUGGUGAUGGAUUUUGGAUAAAAAUUGUUUAUUAAUCUUGUAGUCUGUCCUCAUAUGGUCCUGUAUCUCUUCCCUGAGGAUCAUUAUGUCGGCGUGUGCAUAUGCUCUUGCUGAGCCCCCCCAUGGCAAUGUUGCACUCUUCUCUCUUCUGUAAUUUACCUAUUACUGAGCGUCAUGUAAACAGUAAAUACAGCCAACAAGAGCUGACACUUGUCAGUUCUGUGGACACUUGGUGUGUUUUUGAUAAGGAUCAGAUGUAUGCCCUUAAUCUUGAGUAAGAUGUACUAGUACUGAAAAUGUAUUACACAAAGUUAAUGGAAUGUAUGUCUUUUUAUUUUUAGUGGAUAAUGGUAUAUACAAAGAGCGAAUAUAUCCUGGAAAAAAUAUGAAUUUGACCUGUAAUACUCCAGACCCAAGUAUUACGGAAAUAACCUGGAGUAAGAAUGGCCAAAACAUCAAAGUCGAUGGUGUUAAAUAUCAAAUAAAAGAUAAAAACCUCACUGUGACAAACACCAAUGAUAAUGACAAUGGAAAAUAUGCCUGCAAAGUGACCUUUAACUCAAUUCCAUACAUAAACUUCCAAACCAGGUCUAUUGAGCCAGCUCCUAGACUGACAACUACUGAUUCAAUAAUUCUGAAAUGUACUGACACACCAAUCAACCUGAAGUGCUGUGCUCACAGCAGCUAUAAUGUUCUGUGGAGCCCAAAGCCUGCAAAUGAGCAGUUGGUUACAGGUCAAACACUCACACUACACAUACAUGUUCCCUGUUCAAAUAGAUAUUCAGUUAAAUAGACAAUUAACAAAGGCAACUAUUAACCAGCUACUGUACCAGCUAUAAACAUGCCUUCUUGUAUUGUUCAAUGGGGCUAAUUUACACUCUGGAGCAAGAUUCUCUGUCUGUUAAUCUAUAUUAUUAGCAGGAGGACUGUUAGAAACAAGCCAUUAGAAAUGAUUGGGUAUUGCAGUGAGAGAACACUGAUUCACAAAAACAUAAUACUAAAUAAAUGUCAAACAUGCUGCA